rnacentral:rRNA from 1 species
AUGGACUCCGUCGCGUCGUGGGGGCUGACCCCGCUGGCGGACGCGGACCCGGACGUCUUCGACCUCAUCGAGCGGGAGAAGCGGCGCCAGCGGAGCGGGAUCGAGCUCAUCGCCUCGGAGAACUUCACCUCCUUCGCCGUCAUCGAGGCGCUCGGCUCGGCCCUCACCAACAAGUACUCCGAGGGCAUGCCGGGGGCGCGCUACUACGGCGGCAACGACGUCAUCGACGAGAUCGAGAACCUCUGCCGCGACCGCGCCCUCGCCGCCUUCCGCCUCGACGCCGCCUCCUGGGGCGUCAACGUGCAGCCCUACUCCGGCUCGCCCGCCAACUUCGCCGCCUACACCGCGCUCCUCAACCCGCACGACCGGAUCAUGGGGCUCGACCUCCCCUCGGGCGGCCACCUCACCCACGGCUACUACACCGCCGGGGGGAAGAAGAUCUCCGCCACCUCCAUCUACUUCGAGAGCCUGCCCUACAAGGUCAGCGCCGCCAACGGCUACAUCGACUACGACAAGCUCGAGGAGAAGGCCAUGGACUUCCGCCCCAAGCUCAUCAUCUGCGGAGGCAGCGCCUACCCCAGGGACUGGGACUACGCCAGGCUCAGGGCCGUCGCCGACAAGGUCGGGGCCAUGCUCCUCUGCGACAUGGCGCACAUCAGCGGACUGGUCGCCGCGCAGGAAGCUGCAAAUCCUUUUGAGUUCUGCGAUGUGGUUACCACUACAACACACAAGUCUCUCCGGGGACCGAGGGCUGGUAUGAUCUUCUACAGGAAAGGCCCUAAGCCUGCGAAAAAGGGCCAGCCUGAGGGUGCUGUGUAUGACUAUGAGGACAAGAUCAACUUUGCGGUGUUCCCAUCGCUCCAGGGUGGUCCCCACAACCACCAGAUUGCUGCCCUUGCAGUUGCCCUGAAGCAAACUUUGACUCCUGGAUUCAAGGCCUAUGCAAAGCAGGUCAAGGCCAACGCUGUUGCCGUUGGAAAAUAUCUCAUGAGCAAGGGUUACAAGAUGGUGACCGAUGGAACUGACAACCAUCUUGUUCUAUGGGAUCUCCGCCCUCUUGGCUUGACUGGAAACAAGGUCGAAAAGAUGUGUGACCUUUGCAGCAUUACAUUGAACAAGAAUGCUGUCUUCGGUGACAGCAGUGCAUUGUCCCCGGGUGGUGUCCGCAUUGGUGCUCCCGCGAUGACUUCCAGGGGUCUGGUCGAGAAGGACUUCGAGCAGAUCGCCGAGUUCCUCCACCAGGCUGUGACCAUCUGCCUGAACAUCCAGAAGGAGCACGGCAAGCUGCUCAAGGACUUCUCCAAGGGCCUGGUGAACAACAAGGACAUCGAGAACCUCAAGGUUGAGGUCGAGAAGUUUGCCCUCUCCUUCGACAUGCCUGGGUUCUCGCUCGAGAGCAUGAAGUACAAGGAGUAG